CUGGCUUCCCUGGGAAUUUGGCCAUGGGGAUGUGCUGGAAGGCAACUGGAAAGCAGGAUACAGCAGGACCUGACUCUUCUGCAGGCUACAGACUGGACCUCAGGACACUUCAAUGAAUAUAUUUUUAAAAAACUAUCACAUAUUCUGGUGCUUAUGUUGUUUAUAGGUCUUCAGUGGAAGACAGACAAUGCUCUGCCCGCUUGUUCACCUUCUACAUAGCAUAUCAACACAAUCCAACAUGGCCAUAGCGCAUCUCAAGGUUUAAAAACUUCACGCAGGGACCAACAUUAGACAUAAUAAACUUAAAGCAUAG
rnacentral:lncRNA from 1 species